rnacentral:rRNA from 1 species
ACCCCGGAAGGGGAGUGAAAGAGAACCUGAAACCGUGUGUCUACAAGUAGUCAAAGCACAUUAAAGUGCAAUGGCGUGCCUUUUGUAGAAUGAACCGGCGAGUUACGUUAUCUAGCGAGGUUAAGUCAGAAAAGACGGAGCCGGAGCGAAAGCGAGUCUGAAGAGGGCGAGAAGUUAGGUGACGUAGACCCGAAACCAAGUGACCUACCCAUGACCAGGCUGAAGGCGUGGUAAAACGCGCUGGAGGGCCGAACCCACGUAAGUUAAAAAUUGCGGGGAUGAGUUGUGGGUAGCGGUGAAAUUCCAAACGAACUUGGAGAUAGCUGGUUCUCUCCGAAAUAGCUUUAGGGCUAGCCUCGUGGAGAGGAUAAUGGAGGUAGAGCUCUGUUUGGACUAGGGGCCCGUCAGGGGUUACUGAAUCCAGAUAAACUACGAAUUCCAGAUAUCUAUACACGGGAGUCAGACUGCGAGUGAUAAGAUCCGUAGUCGAAAGGGAAACAGCCCAGAUCACCAGUUAAGGUCCCCAAAUCUAUGCUAAGUGGAAAAGGAUGUGGAGUUGCGUAGACAACUAGGAUGUUGGCUUAGAAGCAGCCACCAUUUAAAGAGUGCGUAAUAGCUCACUAGUCGAGUGGCGCUGCGCCGAAAAUUUACCGGGGCUAAGCAUAGUACCGAAACUGUGGAUGUACGUAAGUACGUGGUAGGAGAGCGUUCUAAGUGCGGCGAAGGUUAACCGAGAGGAUAAUUGGAGCGCUUAGAAGUGAGAAUGCCGGUAUGAGUAGCGAAAGAUAGGUGAGAAUCCUAUCCGCCGAAAGACUAAGGUUUCCUGGGGCAGGCUCGUCCGCCCAGGGUAAGUCGGGACCUAAGGCAAGGCCGAGAGGCGUAGUCGAUGGAUAACAGGUAGAGAUUCCUGUACUGUGUUCAAUCGUUAAGAGCGAAGGAGGGACGCAGGAGGUGAAGCACGCAUCGCGAUGGAACGAUGUUCAAGCGACAAGUGCGGUUAAGAGUCAAAUGCUUCUAACCAGCAACACGAGUCGUGAUGAGGAGCGAAGUAAAAGUAGCGAAGGUGUGGUAGUCACACUGCCAAGAAAAGCUUCUAGCCAGAGAGAACAUACCCGUACCGCAAACCGACACAGGUAGUCGAGUGGAGAACACUCAGGUGAGCGAGAGAACUCUCGUUAAGGAACUCGGCAAAAUGACCCCGUAACUUCGGGAGAAGGGGUGCUGAUAGUAAAAUAUCAGCCGCAGUGAAUAGGCCC